rnacentral:rRNA from 1 species
GACGAACGCUGGCGGCGUGCUUAACACAUGCAAGUCGAACGGAAAGGCCCUGCUUGCAGGGUACUCGAGUGGCGAACGGGUGAGUAACACGUGGGUGAUCUGCCCUGCACUUCGGGAUAAGCCUGGGAAACUGGGUCUAAUACCGGAUAGGAGCCAUUUUUAGUGUGAUGGUUGGAAAGUUUUUUCGGUGUAGGAUGAGCUCGCGGCCUAUCAGCUUGUUGGUGGGGUAAUGGCCUACCAAGGCGGCGGCGGGUAGCCGGCCUGGGGGGGUGGACGGCCACAUUGGGACUGAGGUACGGCCCAGGCACCCACGGGGGGCAACAGGGGGGAAUAUUGCACAAUGGGCGCAAGCCGGAUGCAGCGACGCCGCGGGGGGGAAGACGGCCUUCGGGUUGGAAACUCCGUUCGCUAGGGACGAAGCUUUUUGUGACGGUACCUAGAUAAGAAGCACCGGCUAACUACGUA